rnacentral:lncRNA from 1 species
AUCAUUUUAGAUUUGUUUUAGUUUUACAAUAUGAUUGUAAGAACCAUAUAAUACAGUAGGUUUUACACAGGCCUGUUGAGAAGAAUUGUAUUUGCCUAUGAGGUAUAGGAAGGUUUAUCUUUGUGUUCUCUUAUCACUGGAGAAGCACCGUGCUAGAAAGCUGGUACAUAUUGGACAAAUGAAGGAGAAAUAAUAGAACUGUAGGACAUUUUUUUCAAGUUCUGAUAUACUGAUUGUAGAUUUAAGUACAGAAUAUGGCAAGCAAUCAAUUUAAUCCAAGUCAAAAUAUUUGCAUUCAAAAAAGGUGCUUAAACAGCAUUAGCUUAAAUCAUGUUUUCCUGGAUCAACUUCCUAUAUAUUUUUUUAGUUUCUUAAUUUAAAAUAGUCUAUAUCUUUAGGUAUAUAGUUAAAGAUUUAAAUCUCUAAUAGGAUUAGAGGGUAAUUAGAGUGUAAGAUUCAGAGGACAGAUGCAUAAUGUGGUUUCUCUACUCAAAGAAAAAAUAAAGUGAUUCAUUUGCAUUUUCUCUUAAGUUGUUCUCCUACAUCAAUAUGAGGAACAUGAAAUACAAAUACUUACAACAGAAAAAAAAAAAAAAGAAAUAUUAAUGUAGUCAACAUUUACUUAUGAUUUUUAUUCUCCUUGAAUAAAAUAUAGUGGUUUUCUAGUGACACUAAUUAACAUGUUAGUAGUACGGUAUUUUAAAUUAGAAAUAUUAUAAACCAUGAAGUAGACACCCAAAAACCAGACCACUUACAGAUCAUGCCUUUAUUUAAAUAAGCUUUAACAAGCUCUUUUUUUUUUUCCUAAAACAAUGAUAACAUUAAAUUUAUUUUAUAACUGAGGUAUAGUAUGUUAGACUGGGAUCUAACUGCUUUGAUGUCAUCAGAAUCUUUACACUGAAGAUUGCCUGGUUCCUUCUGCUGGUGUUGAAAAAUGCAUCCCCCUGGAUGAGCACGGCUUGUAUUUUCUGGGAUGUGGUAAGAUUCAGAAAGUGUAUUUUGUCCGGACUGAGUGUGGUGAUACAAACACAGUAAAUUCCAAUAUCUUUACAAAUUCUUGUCUCAUUUGGGAGAUGCAAGGGCAAUUUAUUUGACCACCCACCCAUCUUAUUUGCCUUCCUCAGGGAAAGAAACAUCAAGUCAUUUCUGCUCUAGGAAAGCUCUGAUGUAUUUUAAUCUGUUAUCUCCAUUACCGACUCCUGCUCAGUGCAGUAUCUGCUCCUAAAAAUGUAGGAGGACCUUGAAACUUCACUCCCCAGGCAUCAAGAAAAUGCUGAAGCAUACAAGAAGGAAGAGAUUGGGAAGGUAAAAUUAGAUGAAGGGGUGGAUCUGUUUUGUAAAUUCGAUAUGAAAGUAGAGGGCUUGGACAGAACUGCAGCAUUUGACAGGAUAUGACUGAUUUGAAUUUUGGAUGGGCAGAAGUGAGCUCUGAGUAAGAAAUCAGCAUUUGUGUAAAAACUAUGACAGAGUCAAACUAACCUUAAUUAAAUGAGUCUGGGAAAAUGGCCACAUCAUCUUUCACACCAGCACAUUGGACGUGAUUGGGAGGUAAUCAAAAAUCCAGAAUAUAAUCUGUGGAGGAAAAACAAAACAAAACUGAAGCAAAACAACUAGCUAGACUAUCAUCAUUCACAGUAUUUUCAAUUUUGAGGUCAAAAUUAACAAAUAAAUAUGCAAUAUUGUUUGCCUCUGCAUUUCUGGAAACAGAUCUCUUCAGAAAUACUCAGUUCAUUUUUGUAUGUUUGAUCUCAUUUACAUGAAUGUCAGUAAUCAGGUAAUUAAAUAUUAUUUAAAUAGCAUUCAGAUCCUGGUGGGAUGGGACUUUGAGCAACCUGUUCUAGAGGGAGGUGGAGUCCCUGCCUAUAGCAGGGGGCUGGAACUAGAUGAUCUUAAAUGUCCCUUCCAACCCAAACCAUUCUAUGAUUCUAUUCUGUGAUUGUUUAAGUAAAUGUUCCCUUUAUAAAAGUACAGUGAGAGAAAUGAUUAUUUAUUUCUUCUUGGUUAUGUUUAGCUGUUGCUACUGAGUAUCUGAUCUAAAUGUACAGAAAACAGAAGAUGAAAUGAAUCUAUAAGUAUAGCAACAAACUCAACUAACCACUUUAAUGCCUUUGCUCUAGUUUACCAUACAAAGAAUGUAUUUUGUCAAUAUAUUACUCUGCAGAAGUGAUGAAGAGAUUAAUGACCGGUAGAAUAUUCUAUCUCCUUUGCAGAAAGGAUAUGAUAAGAAAAGAGAAAUGCAGUAACAGCUGAGAACAAGUGAAUUACUGAAGUAUUCAAGAUGAAAAAAUAAAGAGAAGUUUCAGCCUUAAAUCAGAAAAUGAAAAUAAGAAAAGAAGAUCCCUGUUCAUGAAUGAAUACUAAGAUGAGAUAACAAUAAUUCAAAUAAUUCUAGUAGGAACUGUAAUCACAAUAGCAAUAGUAACAGUAAUGAUGAUAGUGACAGCAAUAACAGUAACACUACAUAAACCAUGAAUAUUUUUGGACUGUCACAAAUUAGAUUUAUGAACUCAUAGAAAAUCAGAUUAUUCUCUCUUUAUAAAGAACGUACAAAAAGGAUUAUUUAUCUCUUUACUUGAAGACUUCUUGACGCUCAAAUUCCCACUGAGGGGAAACCGUCACUCUAUUUUGUGUUCCUUUCUAAGACGUCAAGAAAUUAAUAACCAGGAUAUGUGGUAAGUGCUGUCAAAUUUUCUUCUGUCUUAAUAUCGCCCUCUUGAGUAAAUCUGCUAAAUGAUGAAAUAAUAUAUGACACCUAAGACAUCGAGUCACCUUACAAUCUUUUCCGUUUUUAUUCUGAUUCAUUUUUAUUUCUGAAAAGUGGGGAAGAGCUAUUCUCUCUCAACAUAGUCACAGAGCCUGGGAACUAGAUUCAGAAAACAACCAAGUCCCGGAAGACUGAUUAUUGCAGCAACAAAGUUCUGGCCUCUUUGAUUCCUAGAAUCUAUUUGCAUGAAUGAGGUGAUUACUUCUUAACAUCAUGCCUAGGAGUAAUGAAGCAUCUAAAAUCUGGAGACAGGAAAGACAGCCUACUAAAGCAGUGAAAUGCCAAUGACAGUCAAAAGGAUAAUGUCAAAAGAGAAUGUAUUAAUAUAACUGCUUUGUAGACUAUGGUCGCUUAUUCACUAUUUUAAGGAAGUUCUUAUCCCCCCGAUGGAAUUUGCAAGCAUGUACCUGUUCUCUGGUUAAGUUAAGAAUGGAGAUUUGGCAUCAGCUAGUUAUUAUUUUACUGAUUUCUUGUCCCAGGGUGUGAAAACUUGUUCUCUCUGAGGUUUCGACUUCACAUCCACAGGAAAAUAUUAAAUGUGAUAGAAUUUUGUGUAAUAGGGAAUUUUCAGUUUCCCUGAUAUAUUUAAUUCUUUUUUCCUGACAUAAACAAGUACUUAAGCUGUAGAGAAGAAAAGAAUAAGUAUGAAUUAUUCAUUAGUUUGACUUUUAGAGUAGUUACUAAGGAUUUAGGUUCAAAUUCUUAUUUGCAGAAUAAACAUUUAAAUAAAACACUUAGAAGAAUCAGAGGGGUUGGCAACCUAAAUAGCUGCUGAUCUUCAUAAGCUAUAUGUUAGUGUAUUCUAUGCUUAUUUUGGUUUGCUAUAUGUUAAAAAAAAAAUACUGGAUACUAACAUAUUUGCUUGAAAUAGACACCUAGGGCCAAUAUCUUUUGCAUCCUUUGUUGUUGCCAUAAGCUGAGCAGUGAUUAUAAAACAUGUUAAGAAGAAUGUAUUCCAUCUACUAUUUGGUUAUACUAGGAAAAGUGACUAAAUUAAAGUUGGCAAACAAUGCUAGGAAACAAGCCAUUAAUGAGCCAUACGUAGACACACAGAAAAACAAACCUCCUCUGCAUAUGAGUGAUUAAAUCACCCAGUGAAAAUUGUAUUAAUGAGCUAAAAAACAACACUCUAUUAAGGAAACAAUAGAAUCAUAGAAUUGUAGAGUAAUAGAAUCAUGGAAUGGCCUGGGUUGUAAAGGAGCAAAAUGAUCAUCUAAUUUUAACCCCCCUGCUAUGUGCAGGGUUGCCAACCACUAGAUCAGGCUGCCCAGAGCCACAUCCAGCCUGGCCUUGAAUGCCUCCAGGAACAGAGAAUCCACAACCCCCUUGGGCAACCUGUUCCAGUGUGUUACCACCCUCUGAGUGAAAAACUUCCUCCUAAUACACAACCUAAAUCUCCCCUGUCUCAGUUUAAGACCAUUCCCCCUUGUCCUAUCACUAUCCAUCUUCAUAAACAGCUGUUCCCCCUACUGUUUAUACUCUCCCUUCAAGUACUGGAAGGCCACAGUGAGGUCUCCAUGGAGCCCUCUUCUCCAAGUUAAACAAACCUAGUUCCCUCAACUUUUCUUCAUAGAAGAGGUGCUCCAGCCCUCUCAUCAUCUUAAUGGCUCUCCUCUGGACCCUCUCCAAGAGAUCCAUGUCCUUCUUGUACUGGGGGCCCCAGGCCUGUACACAGUACUCCAGAUGAGGCCUCACAAGACCUGAGUAGAGGGGCACAAUCACCUCCCUCUCCCUGCUGGCCACCCCUUUUUUAAUGCAGCCCAGAACACAGUUGGCCUUCCAGGCUGCAAGUGCACAUUGCUGGUUCAUGUCCAGCUUCUCAUCUACCAGGACCCCCAAGCCCUUCUCUGCAGGGCUGCUCUCAAGGAGAUCUUCCCUCAGUUUGUAUAAAUAUCUGGGAUUGGCCCGACCCAAAUGCAGUACCCUGCACUUGGCCUUAUUGAACCUCAUUAGGUUUUCAUGGGCCCACUUCUUUACCCUGUCCUGG